AGUGAACGCUGGCGGUAGGCCUAACACAUGCAAGUCGAACGGCAGCACAGUAAGAGCUUGCUCUUACGGGUGGCGAGUGGCGGACGGGUGAGGAAUACAUCGGAAUCUACUUUUUCGUGGGGGAUAACGUAGGGAAACUUACGCUAAUACCGCAUACGACCUACGGGUGAAAGCAGGGGAUCUUCGGACCUUGCGCGUUUGAAUGAGCCGAUGUCGGAUUAGCUAGUUGGCGGGGUAAAGGCCCACCAAGGCGACGAUCCGUAGCUGGUCUGAGAGGAUGAUCAGACACACUGGAACUGAGACACGGUCCAGACUCCUACGGGAGGCAGCAGUGGGGAAUAUUGGACAAUGGGCGCAAGCCUGAUCCAGCAAUACCGCGUGGGUGAAGAAGGCCUUCGGGUUGUAAAGCCCUUUUGUUGGGAAAGAAAAGCAGCAGGUUAAUACCCCGCUGUUCUGACGGUACCCAAAGAAUAAGCACCGGCUAACUUCGUG
rnacentral:rRNA from 1 species